AGGUGGUGGAUUACUUGACUCAAUACUCGGGUAUAAAGCCUGGUGACCUCGAUGCCAAAAUUUCCUCCAAGCACCUAACAACUCUCAAGUCUACCUACUUAAAGCUUCGUUUUCUCAUUGACAUUGGAGUCAAGUUUGUGGGUCAUGGCCUGCAGAAGGACUUCCGGGUCAUCAACCUGAUGACCUGAAGAUUCAAGGGGAAACCCAUGACAGUAUUGAGGAUGCCCGCACAGCCCUUCAGCUCUACCGAAAGUAUCUGGAGCUAAGCAAAAAUGGCACUGAGCCUGAGUCUUUCCACAAGGUGCUCAAGGGUCUUUAUGAGAAGGGCAGAAAGAUGGACUGGAAGGUGCCUGAGCCUGAGGGCCAAACAAGUCCCAAGAAUGCAGCUGUCUUCUCCUCAGUGCUGGCGCUCUGACUACCCUU
rnacentral:sRNA from 1 species